rnacentral:rRNA from 1 species
AAUAAUAUUUUAAAUAACUUACUUAGUAGGUGAAAAUUCCUUCUUUAAAAAGAAAGACGAGAAGACCCUUAGACUUUUUUAAAGUAAAAUUACUUAUUUUUUUNAUUUUGUUGGGGCGACAGAGUUUCAUUUAAACAAACUUUUUACAAAUAUUAUGAUUUAAUCAAAUUUUAUUUAUAUGAAAUAAAGUACCUAAGGGAUAACAGCAUAAUUACUAAAGUAGAUUGUGACCUCGAUGUUGGA